rnacentral:rRNA from 1 species
GAUGAACGCUGGCGGCGUGCCUAAUACAUGCAAGUCGAGCGAACAGAUGAGGAGCUUGCUCCUCUGACGUUAGCGGCGGACGGGUGAGUAACACGUGGAUAACCUACCUAUAAGACUGGGAUAACUUCGGGAAACCGGAGCUAAUACCGGAUAAUAUAUUGAACCGCAUGGUUCAAUAGUGAAAGACGGUUUUGCUGUCACUUAUAGAUGGAUCCGCGCCGCAUUAGCUAGUUGGUAAGGUAACGGCUUACCAAGGCAACGAUGCGUAGCCGACCUGAGAGGGUGAUCGGCCACGCUGGAACUGAGACACGGUCCAGACUCCUACGGGAGGCAGCAGUAGGGAAUCUUCCGCAAUGGGCGAAAGCCUGACGGAGCAACGCCGCGUGAGUGAUGAAGGUCUUCGGAUCGUAAAACUCUGUUAUUAGGGAAGAACAAAUGUGUAAGUAACUAUGCACGUCUUGACGGUACCUAAUAGAAAGCCACGGCUAACUACGUG